AAAUAUGACUUGAAAUAUAGUGAACUUUCGUAUGGGCUUUAUAAAAAUUAUCAGUUUGGCCUAUCCCAGCCCAUGUGAAGAAUGGACAGAGAAACCUACAUUGUUUCAUGUUUCCAGUUUUUCUCUCUAGACGUUUCCACUUCAUCUUCUCCGAUGUAAGAUUUUUUUUUAUAACCUUCUCAAUAAAUGAUGAUCUUUAAACCAUUCUCGAAUGUUUCUUUCCACCUCUCUAUGAUCCUUCUCCUAUAUAAAGCUAUAUGUUUUAACCUAAAUCAACCUUAAAUCCCAACUCUCCAUUGGCACUUUAUUCUAUACCUAACUGCAUGAUCUCUACUUUUACUCAACCAUCGUCAAAUCGAAAAUGCAAUUCCUCCAGUAAAAGCUCAGUCGCCUUCGAAGCUCCUUCACCGCUGAAUCAUCAUCAUCAAGGUUCUUACCAUGUGACGUCUCUCACCUUCGUCUACCCGUCGAGAAUAUAUGCAGUAAAAAAUCCAGUUCCCGCAAACAGAGAGAUCCCGAAGAAGAUGAUAUACAUACUUAAACUCGGAUUUCAAGUGAGGAUGGUGGUCUUCUGAAGAAGCUAUGCUUUUGUGCGAGAAAGGAUAAGGCUGUGAACACCAGGUCUAUGAGACUUUGUAUGAAGAGAACAAGGAGCUAGCUCCAUGUAAGGUCUGAUUCUUUUCCCUCCAUUCGCUUUAAAGUUGUGAUCUAGCGUGUCUGACGUGAAAUCUGUGUUUAGUUCUCUCUCUUUCUGAUAUAGUGCUUGCAGUUCGUUGACAUGUUACUCAUCGGGUCAAGAGUUUUAAUCCAGUCACAUCAACGUGGAUUAAUUUGUCACCCAAGAGAAGUCAGUAAUGCUGCUUGGAGUUGGAAGUUCAUAGUAGAUUGUUCUUCCUUCUCUUCUGGUGCUUCUUUCUCUGUUUGGAAUGUGAAAUAGAUGACAAAGUUUCCAGCUUUAUGUCAUUUCAUUCAAAAGAAGACCACGAUGAGCUACUCAAAGUGUUGUGGGCGUGGACUACAUGGUCAAACGGGCUCAAAUAUUUCAAGAGAGGUAUAGAAGAAGAGGACGCGAGAGAACAAAGGGAAAUGGGGUCUACACCUCCUAUGCAAGCCUUUUAAAGCUAUGUGAAUGAUAUGGACCCGUUAAGAGUUCAUGGAGUUGCAGCUGCUGUCUCACAGUUGAGCAGCGUCUAUCACUGUGCAACGAGGCGAAUGAUCUAUAGAAUGCAGCAAGUGAACUACAAUGAGAUAUUCAAAGGGAAUAUGACGAAAAAGUUGGAUGCAUACAGCCUGUUGAAGAUUUAUCCGACCAAAGUGAACCGAGUUUACAGUAUACUUGUGAAGAAGGGUACUCCUCAGCAUUAAAACAUCUAAACACAUGUAUAUGGCUCUUUACAGUGUAUAUUUAUGCCUUUUUACAGUAUCAGUACCUUUAUAUUGAACUUGAAGCUAGAAUAUUGUUAUCUUACAAGAAGCUCAGUUACAAUUCAA